rnacentral:rRNA from 1 species
UUUCGGACUACUUACAAGGUGCUGCAUGGUUGUCGUCAGCUCGUGCCGUGAGGUGUCAGGUUAAGUCCUAUAACGAGCGCAACCCCUGUCGUUAGUUGCCAGCAAGUAAAGUUGGGGACUCUAACGAGACUGCCGGUGCAAACCGCGAGGAAGGUGGGGAUGACGUCAAAUCAUCACGGCCCUUACGUCCUGGGCUACACACGUGCUACAAUGGUAUGGACAGAGAGCAGCCACUGGGUGACCAGGAGCGAAUCUACAAACCAUAUCACAGUUCGGAUCGGAGUCUGCAACUCAACUCCGUGAAGCUGGAAUCGCUAGUAAUCGCAUAUCAGCCAUGAUGCGGUGAAUACGUUCCCGGGCCUU